rnacentral:rRNA from 1 species
UUACCGAGUUUACAACUCCCAAACCCCUGUGAACAUACCUUAAUGUUGCCUCGGCGGAUCAGCCCGCGCCCCGUAAAACGGGACGGCCCGCCAGAGGACCCAAACUCUAAUGUUUCUUAUUGUAACUUCUGAGUAAAACAAACAAAUAAAUCAAAACUUUCAACAACGGAUCUCUUGGUUCUGGCAUCGAUGAAGAACGCAGCAAAAUGCGAUAAGUAAUGUGAAUUGCAGAAUUCAGUGAAUCAUCGAAUCUUUGAACGCACAUUGCGCCCGCUGGUAUUCCGGCGGGCAUGCCUGUUCGAGCGUCAUUUCAACCCUCAAGCCCUCGGGUUUGGUGUUGGGGAUCGGCUCUGCCUUCUGGCGGUGCCGCCCCCGAAAUACAUUGGCGGUCUCGCUGCAGCCUCCAUUGCGUAGUAGCUAACACCUCGCAACUGGAACGCGGCGCGGCCAUGCCGUAAAACCCCAACUUCUGAAUGUUGACCUCGGAUCAGGUAGGAAUACCCGCUGAACUUAAGCAUAUCA